GAGACUUGUAAUCAUCCUAAAUGCCUGUUUUAACUGCCUACUGCAUACAUUCAUACACACAAGAGAGCUUGCAAUGUAGCAUUUGAACUGGAAUGACAAUUCAACCAUGUCUUUGAAACCUGAGAAAUUGUCCUGUGUCUCAAUCCAAAGCAAUAGCUGGGAAAUGGUUUAGCAAUGGACACUUAUUAUCUCGCUGCUAGCCAUGCAUACUAGUAAUACCUGCUAAUGCACACAUUUCAGCAGCCAGCUUUUCAGUGCUAUGAAUAUUUUAGCCAAUAUUUAAUACCAUCAAUAUUUAACUGCACUGUUUGGACCAGUAUUAGAUAUUUGGACUCACCAAUGAAUAGGAGACAGUAUGGGUCAGGGUUCAAGGAGAACAGACUAUACCUCAAGUAGUUCUAGCAAAAAUAUUAAUUAAGAGUAUUAAUUGUUUACAGACUUGUUGAGAAGCCUGAGAAAACACAUUCCAAGUUGAAUAUGUAGGAAGUAACAUUGAGCCACACUGCAGAACAAUGUCACCAUGGGAGCUAGUUCUACAUCAACUGGCUCCAGGAGUAAACCACCACUACUACACUUACAAAACUACCCCCAUCAGGACAAAGCCACAACCAAGAAACAUCAAUUAGCAGGAAGCAAUUGCAGAAAAAUAAGGCACCUCCAAAAUAGUUCUUUCCAGAAUCAAAGCAUAUGAGAAACACAAACCAGGCCUCUGCCUCACUUCUGCCUUCUAGGGUAUGUACAAAAGCACCUGAUGGAUGGAAUCAAAAUUGUGGCCAAAAUCCUAAAUGCGAAUGAGGCUGAGAAAUUUAGCUAUUACGUUUCUGGCUUAUAAACUGCAGGAAGGUACAUGAGAAGGAACAGGGAAUUGAUGUUUUCAGUGCUGGGUCAAUUUGAGUAAUAGUUUUUCAGGCCUUCGAAUUUGACUCAAAGUAACUCUUGGCAUGAUCAGAAGAAGAACUGUGUGGGCACGUGUCCCUUCACUGCCACUGUACCAGUUCCUCACCUCCUUUUUCUAGUUGCAUUCCUAGAGAAGAUGCUGGAUCAUUAAUUUCCAUAUAGCAAAUAGCAAGACGGAGGAGUAUAAAAUGGGACUGUGAUGACACACAGAGAUCCAUUCCUGCUAACUUUAGGUUGAGUUUUUUUAAAUGUCACAUUUUGUUUAAAUUACAGGUGGUUGAAAUUGUUACUUUUGCCUUCAGCAAACUUACAAGAAGAAGAGAAAAUCAAUAUGACCUAGAGAAGAGCCUUCAAUUCUGAGAUAAGCUGACAGCUGCUGUGAGGAAAAUUACAAAGAUAAAACCACCGAGACUAGGAAACUGCUGGGAGCAGAAGUUUUCAAGGUUCACCUUGAGACCUCAGCUUAGCACAUCUUUUCACACAUAAAAUACCAGAAGAUGCAUACAAACAUGAAAACAAAUGGAAUUAUUUGGAAAGUUAAGAAUUCUGUAGAAUCCAACGUCAGCAGAAUAGCAGACUAAAAAGCUCCAAAUGCUUUUCCUCCAAAGAAACGUUAAAAAACAACAACAAAACACCCUGAAAUGAUCUAAACCAACUUUGAAUGAACUCUGAAAACAAAGGUUUGUAGCAACCAAGCAAACACCCAAUCAAGAAGAAGACAUCUCCAAAACGGUAGGAGACAUUUUGUGGUGUUUUUACUUUCUCCACUCCGUCCCUGGCCCAGUGGCAAUCUUGGUAUUGGAAAAAGCAACUCAGUUUCUAGUUCCCCUCAUCCUCAAAUUGAAGGGAGCAGAACAUACCUUAUUUGCAAAUUACUGGGCAUAUCUGUUCUAACCUGGUUGGAGGUUAUUUGAAGAACUGAUGCGCUAGUCUCUGUCUGGCAUAAUUUGGAAUACAGGCAAAGAAAGAGGUCCUCAUAAAAGCUAUAAGGAACUACAAACCCACACAUGCUUGGGAUAGGAGAUCACACAUAAUAGACCAUCUAAGGCCCAGAGAGGAAGCUGGGGUAAGACUCUGGGAAAUUAGGACAUUGAAUAGUAACUGCUUACAUACACACGGGACUUUAGAGAGUCACAAGUGCAUGUCCAGCCAAGACUCAUGCUCAGAAAUGUCCUGAGAAGACCUUAAGCUUUCACCUCAAGGUGAGACCUAGGAUCAAAGCAAGCCUAGCUAACCGGUGAAUGGCUACCCCUGCAUGAAGUACAUUUGUGUAGACUGGGAGAGGUAGUUGUUCUUUCUUUUCAGUCUUUUGUGUGUGUGUGUGGUGGCGGGGUGGGCAAGGGGGUGUUUUUGUUUAUUUGUCUGUUUCAGCUCCUGGCAUUCAAGGAAAUCUCUUUCAAAGCAUUUGCCGAACAUGAGCUGAAGGAACAGAGGCUUCAAUGAGUACAUAUAACAAGAAUAAUUGCUGCAUAGUUUAAAAAUGUCUCAAAACAGAUGGAUUACUGAAGCUUUUAACAAUUAAAAAAAUAGAAAGUCUUGAAGAAUGGGGAAAAUCUGAUUUUCAGAGUUACCGCAUUAUAAUAAUGAAAUGGCCAAUUUGCAACAACAACAAAAUAAUCACUAGGUAUAUAAGGAAGAGGAAAACAUGGCUCAUUCAAAGGAACAAAAUAAAUUGACAUAAACUGGCUGGGAGGAAGCCUAGACAUCACACUUACCAGACAAAAAAAUUUAAAACAACUGUCUUAAAUGUGCCCAAAGAGCUAAAGCAAAAUUACAAAUCUGUUUUAAAAAAUUGAAGUGAAAAAGGGAAAUAGGAGGAAAAUAAAAUACACAUCCCAAUUCCCUUAUCUAUAGUAGCUGAGACUCAAAAUAUUUAAUAUAUCAUAUAAAGAGGGCAAUUCAAGUAACAGAAGUCUCAGCAUAUUUAAAAGUACAGAGGUAAACACUAUGAAAGACAAUACUAUUGACUAAAAUUGUGUAGUGAGGAGAUGUAAAAAAAAAAAAAAAGAGAGAGAAGAGGUAAUAGGCUAAUUUUACCACCACCUAACGUUACUUUAAUAUCCACAAGUGAAAAAAGCAUUAUAGUAAGUUUUGCGAUCAGAAAGUGUGAUCUUCCAACUUUGUUUUCUUUUUCGUUUGGUUUGGCUAUUGGCCUUGAGUUUCCUUAUCAGUUUUAGUAUCAGUUUGUCAAAUUCUGCAAAGACACCAGUUAGGAUUCUGAUAGGAAUUGUGUUGAAUCUGAAAUCAAUCUAGGGUUUAUUGCCAUCUUAACAAUAUUCUGUAUUUUUCAAAAAGCCACUUAGAUCAGUCUCUAUCCUGAAAUCUUAACCUAAUCAAUUUUCCAGAAUUUUUAACAGAAUUUAAAAAAAAUAGGCCAUAAUUCACGUAAUGUUGACAAGGUAUGGAAAAUAAAUAAAUUUUAUCAUAGAAAUUAUAUCAAGUACAUUUAUUUAUUUAUUUACUUAUUUAUUUAUUUAUUUAUUUAAUAUUUUUUUGAGACGGAUUCUUGCUGUCGCCCAGGCUGGAGUGCAAUGGCGCAAUCUCGGCUCACUGCAACUUACACCUCCCAGGUUCAAGCCAUUCUCCUGCCUCAGCCUCCCAGGUAGCUGGGACUACAGGCAUGUGCCCCCAAGCCCAGCUAAUUUUUUUGUAUUUUUAGUAGAGAUAGGGUUUCACCAUGCUGUACAAGCUGGUCUCAAACUCCUGACCUCAAGUGAUCCACCCACUUCUGCCUCCCAAAGUGCUGGGAUAACAGACGUGAGCCACCACGCCCAGUCGAGUACGUUUAUUUGAUUCGUGUCAAAGCAGCAGGAAGAAACACUUAUAAAUAUCUACCCACCACACCCGAAUUGCACUGAGUUUUAUGGUGUGUUAAAAUAAAGCAUCUGGUUUUAAAUAAAGAAGGGAAAAGCAAAGAAAAUAAAACAAUGUAUUAACUAUGAAUUAAGGUACAGCUGAAGUAAUUAACAAUAGAUUAAAUGGAUCAAUAAUUACCAUAUCAUACAUUAGUCAUGUUUGACACCUUCCAAAAAGUAUCUAAAAUAUGUUACCUGGACACAUACAUAAACUCAGGGGUAGAAUUAACUCCGUAGUAAAACAAUUUGACAAGUGACCUUACCUCUAUUUAUAGAGAAUGUCAGUAAACACAAUUGAUACGAUUUUUAUUAUAAAAGUUACAGAAAUUUCCAGAUUUAAUCACCUAGAAAACUUUGUUUUAAUCUGCUUAAUCAUAAGGAAGAUUGUUCCAUGUAUUUGUUUGACAGGCUCCUCGGAAUCUAAAUAUUUAUAUAUUUUGCCUUUCUUACCACCAUGUAAAUUGUAGAACCGUUGGUGCAAAGAUCAAAAGAAAACCUAGACUGAGGGACCAAAAGAUGGCAUAAGGUUUGGAAGGAUAUGUGGGCUCUGUGUGAAGGGAAUGUUUUCCAAGCAUUGUAACAAGAGUGCAUUGACUUGAGGUGGAGACAAAACAUUAAAAGGUAACGUAAGCUGGCUGGAGGGAAAACAUCAGAUCUGAAAUCAGAUCAGGCUCGUUGCUGUGAAGAUAUGUUAGAAGGCAAGUUAGAGUCCCAUUGUUAGAAGAAGAACAAGAUGCCAAAUGUUGAUCCUGGCAGCUUAAGUUCUCAAAAACAUUUGCUGGUUCAUGUCUUUUUAUAUAUUCCCUGGAUAUUCCAGAGUCACUCACAUAGGGCCUCCACUAUGACGUGCAAAUAAGGCAUCUGGCAAGUGGCAAAGCCAGGAUGCAAACUCAGUUCUAACUGUGGGUUAGAACAAAGGAGCAGAAAAAAAUAACAUAACCAUCCUGGCUAACACGGUGAAACCCCGUCUCUACUAAAAAUACAAAAAAUUAGCCGGGCGCGGUGGCGGG
rnacentral:lncRNA from 1 species